GCUCUGGAGGGGCUUCCGGGAGGCGGCAGCCACACUGGCAUGGAAGAGGCCAGGCCUUCUCUUGGAGCAGUCAGCCCUUGGGGUCUGAGCUCCAGCUUGUCCACACACAGCCGUGGCUGACCUUGAAUCCGUUACUUAACCUUCCUGCUUCCCGUUCCUUGUCCAGGAAACAGGAAUGAUGAAACCUAGCUCACAGGUUGUCAUGAGAGGGUAAAGGAGCUAAUGCCAGCGGGACCCACCUGGCCCAGCACACCCUCAGCACCUGCGCCCUGAACACCCCAGAUGAUGCUGCAGUUCAGCAUUUUAAGUCAACAUCCCCACCUUUGACAUCUGUCUCUGAUGGGGCUGCCAUAAGAAAUGACCACAGACUGGUGCAAAUCCCAGGAAUCCAUUCUGCAGGCAGGAGGUCUGCGAUCUGGGUGCUGGAAGGGCUGCUCCCCUGGAGGCUCCUGGGAAGAACGUCUCUGGCCUCCCUCCCAGCUUCUGGCAGUUGCCGCUAACUCGGGCACUUCUCAGCCUGUGGGUGCAUCACCCUGACCUCUGACUCCAUGUGGCCACCUGGCCUUCUCCCUGUGUGUCCCUCUCUUCUCUCUUGUAAGGACACUUGUCAUGGGGUUUACAGCCCACCGUAAAUAAGUCCAGGAUGGUCUCAUCCUGACAUCCUUAAUUAUAUUUGCAAAGACUCCUUUCCCAAAUCCAGUCACAUUUGCAGGUACCAGGGACGAGGACUUGGGCAUAUAUUUUGGGGAAACACAGGUCUACCCACAACACUGCUGUACCCCAACACCUGGCACCAUUGCAGGAGGAGCCGGCUUUUCUGCUCUUGGAGUUGGCAGGCGAUCUAAAACACCCUGGCACCAUUUCUGGACCUCACGCUCUCCUUGAUGCUGCCCCCCAACCUCCUGGGUAGAAAGGGCUGGGAUGGGGUAAAGGGUAGGGGCCUGCAGUGGGGUGUGGGCCCAGCUGGGACAGGAAACAGCAGCCACAUUUGCUGACCCGGCGUAAUGGGUCUGUCCACUCAAAGGCUGAGUGUGAACCAGCUUCAGUGGUGCCACUUUGCUAGUGUUUCCCACGCAGACCAAGGCAGACAGACGCCAUGCCUCGUCUAGGGCCACACGCAAGGCACAGGCCUGUCCAGGGCCGUAUGGCUGGUCAACAGAGGGGCCCUGAGCCGGGUCUGCUUCAGAUCCCCUGUCCUGCCCUGUGCAGAUUGCUUCUUUGAUUUUAAUUUCUCUUCUGGUUCAAGUGUGGAGGUUUAGAAAUGAAUGCCCGAACCAGCAACCCGAAGCCUUCCCGCUUUACUGGCAAAUCGUUUGGUGUAGGGUUUCAGGUGCCAUACAUCUUUACCUAGAGGGUCCCCUGCCUCUGGCUCCAGCCAGGAAUGGUGCUGAUUAGGGUCACCUCUGCACCCCGAGGCGCUUUCACCCCAGCGCCUGCAGAUGCCUCUGUCCCUAAUUUUUCGUUCUCUCUCCUGCCAGCUGAAGCGCUUGUAAAAGUCGGACAGGUCGCUGGCAUCCUGUCUUGGACUGCCAGUCAUGUUAGUGGGGGGGCUUCAGAAGGCUGUGUGGACCCCUGUCCAUGCAACCCCCUUUUCCUACUCUCUGCGGGACCGAAGCAGGACUGCAGGAGGGGAGCAGCCCUGGGGAGGUGGGAGGAAGCGGUUUGCUUUGGACAUGAGGCCACACUGGUCAGGUGAGCCCCCAUUAUUUUCCUGUGGACCAAAGGCUAUUUUUAUCAUUUCUGGCAGAGAAAGAGACAAAAACAUUGAAAAGCAGCCUUUUGAGAAUUCUUUUCACACAAGCUAGAUGGUGAUUUGGCCAAAUGUGAAAGGGACAUGCAGUCUCUCCUCUCCCUGGAUUAGCUGAAGCUCCACUUCAGGCCUGACGCCCUGUGUGAGACCCUGUCCAAGGCGUGUGGCGGGUGGGACCAGGGGGAGUGGGGACUGCUGCUCAGGGUCCUCCUGGUCUGAGUGUGGGUGCCUUCCAUGCGGUGUCUGACACCUGCAAACACCGGGAUCAGGACAACAAACCGGUGAGUACCUAGGAGGAGGAGUCGGUGAAUCCCAAGGUGGAAGUGGGCGUCUUGCUACCAUUUGGCUAAGGGCCCUCGGGAUGGAAACUCGAGCUGGGGUCUGAGCCCGAGGCGGCCCACGCCUGUCCAGAGCUCCAGGCUGAGCUCCGUGGGGGUCGGAAGCCUUGGCCGACAGGGAGCAGAGGGCUUCACUUCCCCCCUCCUGCACCAGGGGGCAGUGCCCCACAGCAGAGCGCCUGUCACCGGAAUCCUGCGCGCAAAGCCGUGCCUGUCAGCUCUUCUGGCCGAACGUGUGCGUGGAAUGCAGUGCCAGUAAAAUGUCCAGUGCAAGGAGCGGGACAAUGUGACUCCUGAGUCCCCUGGGAGAAUGAUGGAUGAGAAUCAGCAGUCUACACCUGGGGGAGACACAAAGGCAUGAUGUGGACGGAGUCCCCUGAGCCUGUGGUCAGGAGGCCCCCUGAGGAUGAGGCCACUUCCUCAUUGCCUUGGCGCAGGGCAGGGGCGAAGCCCAGGGUGGGGGUGGGGGCGUCAGCUCAAACGCCCAAGGACAGAUGCUGUGUCCCAUCAGUGGAAGGCUGGCAGCUAAUGACACUGGGGCCACUGAAUAACCAUGCAGUCUCCGUGCC